AUUCUGGCUCAGGAUGAACGCUAGCUACAGGCUUAACACAUGCAAGUCGAGGGGCAUCAUGGAGUUUGCUUGCAAACUCUGAUGGCGACCGGCGCACGGGUGAGUAACGCGUAUCCAACCUUCCCUAUAGUAGAGGAUAGCCCGGCGAAAGUCGGAUUAAUACUCUAUGUUUUCCGUUGCAGACAUCUAAGAUGGAACAAAGGCUUGCCGCUAUAGGAUGGGGAUGCGUCUGAUUAGGUAGUCGGCGGGGUAACGGCCCACCGAGCCAUCGAUCAGCAGGGGUUCUGAGAGGAAGGUCCCCCACAUUGGAACUGAGACACGGUCCAAACUCCUACGGGAGGCAGCAGUGAGGAAUAUUGGUCAAUGGGCGAGAGCCUGAACCAGCCAAGUAGCGUGCCAGGACGACGGCCCUAUGGGUUGUAAACUGCUUUUAUGCGGGGAUAAAGUUCACUACGUGUAGUGUUUUGUAGGUACCGCAUGAAUAAGGACCGGCUAAUUCCGUGCCAGCAGCAGC
rnacentral:rRNA from 1 species